CAUGAGGGCCAGAGCCUGCCUGGUCUGGUAGCCAAGGAUGACUUGCCUAUAUGCUCUUUCAGAAGCCCCGGUUAUUACAUGGCUGGUUUCGGAUGAGUUCCAUGAUAGGCGGUCACCUUGGCUAGCCUGAGCAGCUCUUGUCUGUCAUGGAAGGCCUCUCCUUCUCAUUCUCGGCCAUGCUAUCUCAGGGUCUUAGGACUGUUUGAAUUUCAGCUGACAGUGCACAACUUGUUCCCAUACCCUGAAGCAAGCGUGUACCCGCCACCGAGCUCACAUGGCUACCAGACCCACCUUGGCGAAGAGAACCCUUCCUAUAACUGGGCAGGGCAACCGGCUCCAUCUGAUCGUGGACCUCACUUGUACAGCUACCAAGAUGAUCCUGACUGCCUCACCUUCCUGAGAGGAUGGUAUGAUGCUUUUUCUGGAGCUCAUUUCUCUACAUAGCAUGCAUAGUUGGGACAUGCAGUUUGUUACUCCCUCCGUUCUAAAUUACUCGUCGCAGAAAUGGAUGUAUCUAAAACUAAAAUACAUCUAGAUACAUCCAUACUUAUGACAAGUAAUUCAGAACGGAGGGAAGUAGUAUAUAUGGGCUUUGUUAGGCCCUGCUACUGGCUGUGCUACUGCUAACCGGUACCCCGUGAUGGCUACAUGCUUGGCUGGGCUGUCCUGCUGCUGCUUGUUGGAGCAGUGUUGCUACUACUGACUGCUACUACGAUUACCUGCUGAGACGUGUGUCUAGCCUUCUCCCCUUGGGUGAUUCCCGGGUACUCAAGUUGAACAACUUUGCUUGUGCCUGACUAUGGUCUCAUCUGUACUCCUGUGUAACUCUAGACAUGAGUGAA